CUAAGAACCUAGACCCGCUUAGGAUGCCUGUCCCUGUCCUGUGCCUCUUGCACUUGGUUCACACGUGGGUGUCGCUGUCCUGUAGAAGAGGGCUCGGGGGCAGGUUCUGAAACUCAGUCGGUGACGGUCCCCUCCCCAGUCAUUUGGGGGCUCCCUGCUAUUUUCACACACAGGUUGUGCAUCUCGGAUUCCAAAAUCUUAUUGGUGCUCAAAAGAUUUCACAUUUGAAUCAUGUCAGAUGUGUGAGCUUCAGAUUAGGGACGCUCACCUGGUGAAUCACACACAAAUGUUCCCAAAGGUGAAAACCUCCCAGUCUGAAAUCGGCUGUGUCCCGGGCCUUCAGAUCCAGGCUGCCCAGCCUCCACCUCCUCUUCCAGGACACGGACUGACUGUGCACCCUGCUGUCCCCCCAGCACCCCUAUUUGACUUGGGGUUUCUGUUGGAUCUGAAGCAGAACCACUGGCUCGGGGUGGGGGUGACAUCUUCACCCCCAGUCCACAGGCUCCUUGGGACUCCCUGGGGCUGUCACAGCGUCCUGCUGGGCAGUGCCUCUGGCUCUGCCUUCUCUGCUUCCCCAGCCCCAGUGCAAGAGCUCAGGCCUUUUCCAGCUCUGCAGAAAUAACACAGACACACAGCACUGUGACAUCCGCCUGUGUCUGUGACCAGGACCAGGCCACGCUGUGCUCAGCCUCCUCCCUCUUCUGUCUACAGACCAGAGGGCCCUGUGUUUCCAUCUGUGACAAAGAUGCACAGGAGCCCAUGGAGGCUGUGGGCCGAGGCUGGGGCUCAGGGCAGGGGCUUCGCUGGUGUGCAGGAGGCCUGGGCUCCUCCCAGCACCGCAAGGGAAAAAGGGAAGAAAUGCAGGCUGCAUCCCGGCCCCACAUCGGGCAGUGACACUCACUGAAGGAAGCACAAGGAGAAGACCCUAGCGUUUCCCAUAGCUGCGGAUCAUGAAAUACCGAUUUGAUCAAACUGUGUAGUGUUCUUACCUGGUCCUGUAGCACAGGCCUGUGAUUCAGUCACUCUGGGAGGCAGGAGGAUCACAAGUUGGAGUCCAGCCUGGGCAAUUUAGCAACUUAGUGAGACUAUCUCAAAAUGAAAAGGAACUGCUGGAAAUUAAAUGCCUUGGUUUCCAUCUCCCAUUAUACACACACAAUAUAUAUAUACAUAGAUAUAUUCACUUCACAUACUAUAUAUUACACUAUAUGUGAUAUAAAUGUAUAAAAUAAUCUAUGUGAUCAUUUAGAUGCCAACAAUUACAUUUUUUGUUUUUUAGUUGGUAGCAGGGAUCGAACUCAGGACCUUGUGCUUUCAAGGCAGGUGGCAGUACCACUGAGCUAAAUCCCUGGUAUAAUUACAUUAUCUUAUAGACCAGAAUUAAAGCUUACAAGCUUAGUCAGAAGAGAAUUUUUAAAUUGGUAGCCAGCUGUGAAACGCCAAAUCAUAAAGGAAAAAAGUAUUUUAGAAUACAAGAUAUCAUUAAAUUAGGACAACUAUCAUAUUUUUAAUGGAUAAAAAUACAAGAUGCCUAAAAUACAAAAAACCUCUACAAAUUCAGAAGAAAAGUCCAACAGCCUAUAGAAAAAUAGUCAAGGGCUACAAGGAAAAGUUCUGUCCCUAAAGAAAUGCAGAUUAUAACAUAAUAUACUCAAAAAAAAUAUACAUCUCUCCUAAGAGCAUCUCAGAAAGCAUUUUUAAGUGACUUUAGAAAAAAAAAUAGUAAGCUACUACAUGAAAAAGAGAAAUGGUUGUUUUUCUACCUGGUAAAACAGGUAGCUUUUUAGUAAACAAACGUCACAAUAAAUAGUUUCCCCUGAAAAAACAGAGAGAACCCCUGCAAGACGAAAUGUCCUCAGAGAAAACAGCAGACAGCAGGCUUCUGGGUGGAAUUUAUAGGAAUUAGGCUGUUGAUCAAGUAAUGAAUUGAACCUGGAUUCUCACAACAGGCAUUUUCACACAUCAGGUUAGGUUUUUCCUUUAUUCACCCAAUGUAAAUGCCCCAAUUCGUGUAUAGACAUUAAAAACACUGUAAUAAGGAGAGAUUGGGGAUAUAUGCUCACACUGCUGACUUGAGGGUCCU
rnacentral:lncRNA from 1 species